CAUUAUAAACAGUAAGCACCAUUCACGUUCACAAGGGGGUCGAGAGGGGAAAGCUUAAGAUGGACUCUCAUUGGUUUUCCUAGAUAGGGCCUCUCGGCUGAGAACAGUGAGUUCCGAAAGGGAGAUAGAAUUGAAGAAAAUCAGAGGGAGAAAGGGAGAUCGAGUGACAGAAAUUUGAGAGAGAGCUCGAGUGAGGGAAGAAAAUCAGAGGGAGGUGUGAAAGAAGGAGAGGGGGGAGGUCUGAGAGAGAAAGAGGAGAGUGGUGGCUCGAGGCAAAACCCACGAUCCUCGUCCCAUUUCUGGUGUUAUCAUCCAUCUUCGAGGAACUUCAACCUGCACUACUGACGACCAUCACAGCUUUGCCGAUGAAACCUCCACCCAUCACUUCUCUGCCAUCGACUUGCUCCCACUGCUACUAUCGAAUUGCCACGUUGUUCUUUCCAGUUCGUCAAAUCCGAGUUUUGCCAGUUUUGCAGUAUCAGCAUUGUUGAUUCUUGUGAAGGCUACAAGAGGUAAGCAUCUCAAGGGUUUGAUAGAUAUUAUGUUACUAAACAAAGAAUCUUCUACCAUGCUUGUCAUCGGAGUUCAAAGCCCCUCCACCACAUGGGCUAGCAAAUCUUCACUUAAAGAAAUGGGAGCUGAUCUUUAAGAUUAACAAAAGAAGGAGGGGGCGACAGCCUUUAGAAACACACACAAUCAAAUUUUUUUCAGUGCUGAAAUCACAAGAAGAGAGAAUUCUGCACCAUAUGAAUACUCUCUUGCCGCCUCCUUGUUCUUGUC